rnacentral:rRNA from 1 species
CACGUAGGGGGCAAGCGUUGUCCGGAUUCAUUGGGCGUAAAGAGCUCGUAGGCGGUUCGAUAAGUCGGGUGUGAAACCUCCAGGCUCAACCUGGAGACGCCACCCGAUACUGUCGUGACUAGAGUCCAGUAGGGGAGUGUGGAGUUCCUGGUGUAGCGGUGAAAUGCGCAGAUAUCAGGAGGAACACCGGUGGCGAAGGCGGCACUCUGGGCUGGCACUGACGCUGAGGAGCGAAAGCGUGGGGAGCGAACAGG